rnacentral:rRNA from 1 species
CUCCUACGGGAGGCAGCAGUGGGGAAUAUUGCGCAAUGGGCGGAAGCCUGACGCAGCGACGCCGCGUGGGGGAUGAAGGCCUUCGGGUUGUAAACCUCUUUCAGCAGGGACGAAGUUGACGUG